UACAGAGGGUGCGAACGUUGUUCGGAAUUACUGGGCAUAAAGAGCACGUAGGCGGCACCGCAAGUGUGGGGUGAAAUCCCACGGCUUACCCGUGGAACUGCCUGGCAGACUGCGGUGCUAGAGCACGGUAGGGGCAGAUGGAAUUCCCGGUGUAGCGGUGGAACGCGUAGAGAUCGGGAAGAAUACCAGUGGCGAAGGCGUUCUGCUGGGCCGUUGCUGACACUGAGGAGCGAAAGCGUGGGGAGCGAACAGG
rnacentral:rRNA from 1 species